CAAGCUUUUCCUCGCGCGAUGGCAUCAGGCGCACGGAGGGAGCUCUUCUCCGUCGAUGUGGUGAACAACGACCGUGAUCUCCGUUCCACGGCGUCACCGGCUAGCAAGGCCGAGACAAGCAUCGUAAGGAUCCAGUUAGAAUGAUGACUGAUAUCCUGUUAGAGCAUCUUGGGCUUCACAAGGCCAUCUGAGACUCGGGCUCAAUGAGAACACGAUGAGGUACAUGGAGAACUCCAGAAACACUAUAGUGAAGGAUCUAAACUAUGACAGGCUGAGCAGAAUGCAGAAAGACUUUUGCUUAUCUGAGACUCGGGAUCGAUGAGGCAUUUGACAUGAUAAACAAGUGCCAAAGGUUACUUGUAUGAUCUGAGAUACAUGAGCUCCUUCUCAG
rnacentral:rRNA from 1 species